rnacentral:rRNA from 1 species
GGGGAAUAUUGGACAAUGGGCGCAAGCCUGAUCCAGCCAUGCCGCGUGAGUGAUGAAGGCCCUAGGGUUGUAAAGCUCUUUCACCGGUGAAGAUAAUGACGGUAACCGGAGAAGAAGCCCCGGCUAACUUCGUGCCAGCAGCCGCGGUAAUACGAAGGGGGCUAGCGUUGUUCGGAAUUACUGGGCGUAAAGCGCACGUAGGCGGAUUGGUCAGUUAGGGGUGAAAUCCCAGGGCUCCACCCUGGAACUGCCUUUAAUACUGCCGGUCUAGAGUCCGAGAGAGGUGAGUGGAAUUCCGAGUGUAGAGGUGAAAUUCGUAGAUAUUCGGAGGAACACCAGUGGCGAAGGCGGCUCACUGGCUCGGUACUGACGCUGAGGUGCGAAAGCGUGGGGAGCAAAC